UACGUAGGGUGCAAGCGUUGUCCGGAAUUAUUGGGCGUAAAGAGCUCGUAGGCGGUCUGUCGCGUCUGCUGUGAAAACUCAGGGCUUAACCCUGAGCUUGCAGUGGGUACGGGCAGACUAGAGUGCGGUAGGGGAGACUGGAAUUCCUGGUGUAGCGGUGAAAUGCGCAGAUAUCGGGAAGAACACCGGUGGCGAAGGCGGAUCUCUGGGCCUUACCUGACGCUCAGGCGCGAAAGCUAGGGGAGCGAACGUGG
rnacentral:rRNA from 1 species